rnacentral:rRNA from 1 species
CUUCAGGUGGUUAUAGCACGAGGGUUCCACCUCUUCCCAUUCCGAACAGAGAAGUUAAGCCUCGUCACGCUGAUGGUACUGCGUAACAGUGGGAGAGUAGGUAGCCGCCGUUUUUA